GACGAACGCUGGCGGCGCGCUUAACACAUGCAAGUCGAGCGAGAACCCAGGCUUCGGCCUGGGGGAAAGCGGCGAACGGGUGAGUAACACGUGGGUAAUCUGCCCUCGGCAUCGGGAUAGCCCGGGGAAACCCGGAUUAAUACCGGAUGGCCCGACAGCUCUUCGGAGCGGUCGGAAAAGGUAGCUUCGGCCUCCGGCCGAGGAGGAGCCCGCGGCGGAUUAGCUUGUUGGUGAGGUAACGGCUCACCAAGGCUCCGAUCCGUAGCUGGUCUGAGAGGACGAUCAGCCACACGGGGACUGAGCAACGGCCCAGACUCCUACGGGAGGCAGCAGUGGGGAAUCUUGCGCAAUGGGCGAAAGCCUGACGCAGCGACGCCGCGUGAGGGAAGAAGGCCUUCGGGUUGUAAACCUCUUUCAGGAGGGACGAAGCCACUCGGGUUAAUAGCCCAGAGGGUGACGGUACCUCCAGAAGAAGCCCCGGCUAACUACGUGCCAGCAGCCGCCGUAAAAC
rnacentral:rRNA from 1 species